AUGGGGUCCCCCAUCUUCUUCGGCCUCAGAGAGGAGCUAGAAGGAGACUCACCCACUCUCUUUCACGCCGGCCACCGCGCACCGUCGCAUCACCAGUUGCGAAAAACGGUGACCGGCUCUCACCCUCGCAGACGUUACACUCUCACUCUCACUCUCACUCUCAGGCUUUCAAUUUCAGGUGGGUGGGGAAAGAACAUAAGUUCUUCAAAAGGAACAAGAGAGAAGUUGCUAUUUCAAAACAAGUUGGUAGUAAGAAAUGUUGAAGUUGUUUGA
rnacentral:lncRNA from 1 species